rnacentral:rRNA from 1 species
UACGGGGGAGCAAGCGUUGUUCGGAUUUACUGGGCGUAAAGGGCGCGUAGGCGGUCAGCACAAGUCAGUUGUGAAAUCUCCGGGCUUAACUCGGAAAGGUCAACUGAUACUGUGCGACUAGAGUGCAGAAGGGGCAACUGGAAUUCUCGGUGUAGCGGUGAAAUGCGUAGAUAUCAAGAGGAACACCUGCGGCGAAGGCGGGUUGCUGGGCCGACACUGACGCUGAGGCGCGAAAGCUAGGGGAGCGAACGGG